UGGGGUGUAGCUCAGUAGGUAGAGCGUCCGGCUGUUAACCAGAAUGUCGCAGGUUCGAGCCCUGCCGCCCCAG
rnacentral:tRNA from 1 species